rnacentral:rRNA from 1 species
AUUGAACGCUGGCGGCAUGCCUUACACAUGCAAGUCGAACGGCAGCACGGGAGCAAUCCUGGUGGCGAGUGGCGAACGGGUGAGUAAAGUAUCGGAACGUGCCCAGUCGUGGGGGAUAACGUAGCGAAAGUUACGCUAAUACCGCAUACGAUCUAUGGAUGAAAGCGGGGGAUCGCAAGACCUCGCGCGAUUGGAGCGGCCGAUAUCAGAUUAGGUAGUUGGUGGGGUAAAGGCUCACCAAGCCGACGAUCUGUAGCUGGUCUGAGAGGACGACCCGCCACACUGGGACUGAGACACGGCCCAGACUCCUACGGGAGGCAGCAGUGGGGAAUUUUGGACAAUGGGCGAAAGCCUGAUCCAGCCAUGCCGCGUGCAGGAUGAAGGCCUUCGGGUUGUAAACUGCUUUUGUACGGAACGAAAAGGUUUGGGCUAAUAAGCUGAGCUCAUGACGGUACCGUAAGAAUAAGCACCGGCUAACUACGUGCCAGCAGCCGCGGUAA